AGGGGUAUGGUGCUCAGCGCCCGACCUCCAACCCUUUGUUGUUAAAACUACCUUGUUGCUUUGGCGGGACCGCUCGGUCUCGAGCCGCUGGGGAUUCGUCCCAGGCGAGCGCCCGCCAGAGUUAAACCAAACUCUUGUUAUUAAACCGGUCGUCUGAGUUAAAAUUUUGAAUAAAUCAAAACUUUCAACAACGGAUCUCUUGGUUCUCGCAUCGAUGAAGAACGCAGCGAAAUGCGAUAAGUAAUGUGAAUUGCAGAAUUCAGUGAAUCAUCGAAUCUUUGAACGCACAUUGCGCCCCUUGGUAUUCCGAGGGGCAUGCCUGUUCGAGCGUCAUUACACCACUCAAGCUAUGCUUGGUAUUGGGUGCCGUCCUUAGUUGGGCGCGCCUUAAAGACCUCGGCGAGGCCUCACCGGCUUUAGGCGUAGUAGAAUUUAUUCGAACGUCUGUCAAAGGAGAGGACUUCUGCCGACUGAAACCUUUUAUUUUUCUAGGUUGACCUCGGAUCAGGUAGGGAUACCCGCUGAACUUAAGCAUAUCAAUAAGGCGGAGGAAAAAUUUAAUAA
rnacentral:rRNA from 1 species